GAUGAACGCUGGCGGUGUGCCUAAUACAUGCAAGUCGAGCGACCAGACAAUGAGCUUGCUCUCUUAACGUUAGCGGCUGACGGGCGAGUAACACAUACAUCACCAACCUCUAAUUCUUGGAUAAUUUCGGGAAACCGCAGCCAAUACCGCAUCAUAUAAUCUACCGCAUGGAUCAAUAGUGAAUCACGGCUUUCCUGACACAUUUAGACGGUUCCGGGCCGCAUUAGCUAGUUGGUAAGGUAACGGCUUACCAAGGCGACGAUGCGUAGCCGACCUGAGAGGAUGAUCGGCCACACUGGAACUGAGACACGGUCCAGACUCCUACGGGAGGCAGCAGUAGGGAAUCUUCCGCAAUGGGCGAAAGCCUGACGGAGCAACGCCGCGUGAGUGAUGAAGGUCUUCGGAUCGUAAAACUCUGUUAUUAGGGAAGAACAAAUGUGUAAGUAACUAUGCACGUCUUGACGGUACCUAAUCAGAAAGCAACGGCUAACUACGUG
rnacentral:rRNA from 1 species